AUUGAACGCUGGCGGCAGGCUUAACACAUGCAAGUCGAGCGGGGUGAUGGUGCUUGCACUAUCACUUAGCGGCGGACGGGUGAGUAAUGCUUAGGAAUCUGCCUAUUAGUGGGGGACAACAUCUCGAAAGGGAUGCUAAUACCGCAUAUGUCCUACGGGAGAAAGCAGGGGAUCACUUGUGACCUUGCGCUAAUAGAUGAGCCUAAGUCGGAUUAGCUAGUUGGUGGGGUAAAGGCCUACCAAGGCGACGAUCUGUAGCGGGUCUGAGAGGAUGAUCCGCCACACUGGGACUGAGACACGGCCCAGACUCCUACGGGAGGCAGCAGUGGGGAAUAUUGGACAAUGGGGGGAACCCUGAUCCAGCCAUGCCGCGUGUGUGAAGAAGGCCUUAUGGUUGUAAAGCACUUUAAGCGAGGAGGAGGCUCUUUUGGUUAAUACCCAAGAUGAGUGGACGUUACUCGCAGAAUAAGCACCGGCUAACUCUGUGCCAGCCGCCGCAGUAAGAC
rnacentral:rRNA from 1 species